rnacentral:tRNA from 1 species
UUAUUUUGGCAGAUUAGUGCAAUAAAUUUAGAAUUUAGAUAUGUAUAUUUUAUACAAGUAAUAU